UACGGAGGAUCCGAGCGUUAUCCGGAAUUAUUGGGUUUAAAGGGUGCGUAGGCGGCCAUUUAAGUCAGCGGUGAAAUUUUGCAGCUUAACUGUAACAGUGCCGUUGAUACUGUUUGGCUAGGAUUUGGUUGUAGUGUGCGGAAUGUGUGGUGUAGCGGUGAAAUGCUUAGAUAUCACGCAGAACACCGAUUGCGAAGGCAGCUUACUAAACUACUACUGACGCUCAGGCACGAAGGCGUGGGGAUCAAAUAGGAUUAGAUACCCUGGUA
rnacentral:rRNA from 1 species